AGCGGAGUAGAGCAGUUGGAAGCUCGCUUGGCUCAUAACCAAGAGGUCAUAGGUUCGAAUCCUAUCUCCGCCA
rnacentral:tRNA from 1 species